CUUUAAUUGACAAUAAAAUAAUUCCUGGAACCAAAUCAUUGCCGUCCACUAGGGCUCGAAGGACCAUAGUUAAUUCCAACCUUUUGGAAUUAUUGGCUCACCACUCACUCUUCAAUAACGUGUCGCAACAAUAAAAAAUGAAAUUAUAGUAUAUUUUGCACCCACUUAACCGAACAAUCAAAAGGCGGAAAUCUUCACGUUGACGAGGUGUCUGCUUCGAAUCUGAUACGCAAAAAGAGGUCAGCCGCUUCCAGUGUUUUGGUUUUGUUGAUGGUUGGUGGGGUGAUCGGCCGGUGUGUUGGAUAUCGUGGG